GACGGACGCUGGCGGCGUGCUUAACACAUGCAAGUCGAACGGAAAGGCCCUGCUUUUGUGGGGUGCUCGAGUGGCGAACGGGUGAGUAACACGUUAGUAACCUGCCCUUGACUUUGGGAUAACUUCAGGAAACUGGUGCUAAUACCUGAUAGGAGCUCCUGCUGCAUGGUGGGGGUUGGAAAGUUUCGGCGGUUGGGGAUGGACUCGCGGCUUAUCAGCUUGUUGGUGGGGUAGUGGCUUACCAAGGCUUUGACGGGUAGCCGGCCUGAGAGGGUGACCGGCCACAUUGGGACUGAGAUACGGCCCAGACUACUACGGGAGGCAGAAGUGGGGAAUAUUGCACAAUGGGCGGAAGCCUGAUGCAGCAACGCCGCGUGCGGGAUGACGGCCUUCGGGUUGUAAACCGCUUUCGCCUGUGACGAAGCGUGAGUGACGGUAAUGGGUAAAGAAGCACCGGCUAACUACGUG
rnacentral:rRNA from 1 species